AUGCCGCCAUGCCCGCCCUGGGCGGACCUGCCACCGGAGCUUGUCUGCCGCAUCGCCGACGGCCUUGAUGAACUCAAGUGGUACGCGAGUGCGCGGGGCACCUGCACGACAUGGCGUGGCACGCUUGCGGCGCCAUCGCCAUGCCUGCUCAUCGACCACGGCGACGACCCUGCCAAGCGCUGCACCACCACUGCCAUCAAGCGUCGUACCACCGCAACCUCAAUCCUCGCACGCCGCUCCUUCGAGCUCAAAGCCAUCCCUUCGGGCCAGACCUGUCUCGGCUGCUGCAGCGAAUGGCUCGCCCUCUCCCUUAGCAUCGACAAUGUCCGUAGUCUGCUCAGCCUCUUCCACCCCAUCACGGCCGCCAAGAUCCUCCUACCCCUGCUUGUUUAUGAUGGCCACCUUGUCUCCAAAAUCGUCUUUUCUCCCAACCCUGCCAUUGACGACUUCAUGGCCGCUGUGAUCUGUGACAUCGAUAGGGUUGCCUACGUCACCACAGGGGCCAGGAGGUGGUCCAUCCUCGACCCCAUCCGCCUCACUGUUGAAGACUAG
rnacentral:rRNA from 1 species